GAAGCCCGCCAGACCACCGCUGGUGCAAUCUGGGAAACCAGGCACUGGAGGAACGUCCGGACUGCACAGGGCAGCGUAGCAGUUAACGACUGUCCACUGACAAGCUUUCCACGCAAGUGGUGGGCCCUAAGGUGAGGAUUAGAGCAACAGAGACGAGUCAAUGUAGGCAUCCCGUCGGGUGUUCUACGCGUACAGCGCGGCGCAAGCCGUGCCCCGGGCAACCGGGAACGCGUAGCCACCCAAUGCGGGCAAGGCCCGCAUUGGGUGAAACGGGCAAUCUCUACGCGCAGCAAUACCAAGUAGGCACACGUUGACGGGGCCCCCGGAGUGUGCGGGUAGGUAGCACCGAGCCGCUGGGUGACCAGCGGCCCAGAUUAAUGGUGGUCACAUGCGGGGAAACCCGCAUGCACAGAAUCCGGCUUAUCGGUGGGCUUCACAC
rnacentral:RNase_P_RNA from 1 species